AUAACUUGCGUGAGUGACAUUAUUUCUGUUUAAACAAUUUUUAAUAAUCUAUAAUAUUAUUUUAUUAUAUUUAGUUCUAUCAAGGUUUUCUAGAAAGAAAUUUGAGUUUAAGAGCGUUCAAGAAGUUAUAUGUGCAAUGUACAAGCGAUACGUAUCGGACUCAGACUCCGAUACGAGCCGAAUGGAAAUUGAGCACGUUCAUAAAUAUUUGAACCGCAGUGUACAGGUGUAAAAUGCAAAUAUAUACCAGCAAGCACAGUCUGUCCGCCGGUAAUCUAUAGAGAGCGUGGGGUCUAGAUAAGAUAUUCCAAAAAAAGAUUAGAUUUAUACAAAAUACAAAUUCUUGAGCAAAUUCUGGACCAAUACUAAAAGGUGUAUCGUCUAAACACAAUUUCAGGAUGCUAUCGGCACCAUCCGGGAUUGUCUUGGUCAGUGUGUGUAAUGUACCACGACCACUUUUAUUGUGUUAUUAUUUUCCUACCUCCCCUUCCCCCUACCAUUCAACGGCCACCACCACUAUCAACAACAACAGCAAAAGUACCAAUGCGAACAUGUGGCAAAUGGCAAUGUCCAACAGUGGGCUGGGGCCACCGAGACUGACGGAAUUGCUUGCAAAAAAACCAACUAUAUCAAUUUUAUGAAUUGUAGUCUAUGUCAUUCCAUGGCGGUGAUAGGGACGACAUCAUUACUAUCUCACCGUUCAUUUUUCACCAUCACAGCAUUUUCAAAUUGAUUCAGAAGAAAAUAACUUGCUCGCUAGUCAACCAACAGAAAUGUACAUUGAAGACGGGUGCCUUUAUUUGAUCUUUCGAAACUAUUUGGUCCACUGCAAUGGAAAAAGACAGUCAAAGAUUUUGAACCAAAAAUCCAUCCAUGUACUCAAAAGAAUUUAAUUUAAAUGAAAAUUCUUCAGUGUUGUUUAUUUGUAAAGUCUUCACAUAACACCAAAUUGCAUGGCAAUGAAUGUAUUUGAAACCAAUCAUACGUAUAACAACAACCAACUUCUCCAGAGCACUUCAGCUGUACACUGGAAAGGCCGCAGAAAUGUAUACAUGUUGACAACUAUGUAAAUAUAAAGAUAAAAUGAUAGCCACUAAAAUAUUGAUAGAGCUACUGGGGUGGAAUAUUUAUAACCAGAGAGUGUAAUAAGCUACAAUGGCAAUAUGGGUGCUAUUGAUAAAACUGAUAUGCCUUUAAGCUCUGAUGAAUGUGUACACCAUACCAUGAAACUGGAAAAAUUUUUUUUUUCAUAUAGUUGAUAUGUCUACUGAACUUAGCUUAUAAAACGGUGCCAGGUGGAAUGACAACAAAAUAUAGAAGAAGGAAACUGACUCUACAGGAAAGCACUUACAACAUUUGGACUUUCCAGAAUUUGUGCCAUUUACACCAUAAAAAAAAAAAAAGAAGUCGAUUUUGUUUGCAGCCACAUUAAGGAAAUCAAAAAAGAAAAGAUUCCAUAUGCCGCUGUAUUGAAUGUAAUGUUGGUUCAUGUAUUAGCCCUUGUUUUAAAAUUUACCACUUAAAAUAAUUUUAAAACAAUUUUUACUUAAUACACUUAUAAUGAAUUAUAA